GUAAUUCUGAGAACUACAAGUUGGAGAGGGGAGAGCUGGGUCGAAAAAGGCCACUUGAGGACCUGCCCUCCUACAGCAGGGACAUUUGUAUCUAAAGAGUGCUGCCUAUAGGGGAGCAGCAACUUGGAAGAAAAGGCCUAAUACUUAAGGGUCAAGGAAGGAGUUGCAAGUGAUCACCCAGCCUGGAGAAGCAUCUGCCCGAGUCAAGGAAACUUUACAAGAGAAAUCCCCAGUGUGCACCCCUAUGAAGAGCCUACAAUGGUAUGUCUACAAGAGUGAGUCAUCCUUACUUCUGCCAGACCCAGAUAGUUGCAAGCUGUCUUUGCUACCAUUUCAGCACUUGAAAAUGGUACCGAUACUUCCUCCUGGCUUUAUGGUUUCUGCUGAGAAAUUUGCUCUUAUUCAAAUAUUUUCCCGUAUAG
rnacentral:lncRNA from 1 species